GUCAUGGGUCCGGGAGACCCUCAGGGGGUCACUGCAGGUCGGGCCACAAGGCAGCGUCUGUGGCUCCUCCUCCCAGACCUAAAAAUGGCGAGGUCCUGCUGUCCACCUGAACGGACCACGGCGGCGUGGGCGAGACGAGGCCAGGACGCCUCACCUGAGAACACGCCACCAGGCCCCUCCUGACCUCGCUGAGAUGGAGGAAGGCGGCCAGAAGAGCGGGUCCCAGGAGCCAGGCUGGCAAGAGCUGGGGAGUGUCUUUCCGUAACUGGAAGACUGAUGAGCUGUGAGGAAUACCACGCAGCUACAUGCACGGCUCCCGUGACGGCAGACUCACACAGAGAGAGGACCCCGCGUGCCCGCUGAUGGGAACCCUUCCGUAACAGAGAGACCAGAAGGCCGGGGGCUGCCGUCAGGGGCUGUCAGCUCCACAGUAAAGCACACUUGACCUUCUCCAGGUUUUGCAGGAAUUCUCCUUUUUGGUGGGUGCGUGCAUGCUCAGUCACUCAGUUAAACUGACUCUUUGUGGCUCCAUGGACUGUAUGUAGCCUGCUAGGCUCCUCCAUCCAUGGAAUUUCCCAAGAAGAAUACUGGAGAGGGGUGCCAUUUCCUACUGCAUGGGAUCUUCCCGACCCAAGGGUUGAACCCGGGUCUCUUGUGUCUCUUGCAUUGGUAGGUGGUUCUUUAACACUCCGCUACCCGAGAAGCCCAAACGACAAACAGAUCAUUUUGUUUUUUCGGUCAUGCCUUGCAGCACAUAGGCUCUUAAUUCCCUGACUCGGGAUCGAAUCCUUGCCCCUUGCAUUGGAAGCCUGAAGUCUUAACCGCUGGACUUUUGUGUGUAAUUCUGUAGUAUUUCAUCACAUGGACAGAUUCAUGUCAGCACGACCCUAAUCAAGAUACACAUAACAAAGUGCACAGCUCAUCUUUUAGGGGGUUGUGCCCACGUUUCCCAACUAGGAAGACAUCAAGGAAAACAAACCUCAGAGUAAAGCAUGGAUCUGACCUUCGUGGAACCAGAAGGGGCUGGAGCCCGUUUCUGAGCAACAGCGAGCAGGUGGCUGGGAGGGGCAAGUAGGCAGGCGGGAGAAAGAGGAGGCAUGGACCUUCUUCCACCUCAUUGUUUACCUUGAAAUCAGCACAUUUCCUUACUUAAAAAUACUGAAACCCAGGAACUAUAUUCAAUACCUUGGAACAACCUAUAAU
rnacentral:lncRNA from 1 species